rnacentral:lncRNA from 1 species
UCUCUCUCUUUCUCUCUUCUCUCAAUCUGAUUUAUUUGCUAUGCAUCCAUAGGUAGAGACCCUCUCUAUUUAUAGAUAAUUUUUAUAACCCAAUAAGUAUAGAAGUCUUAACUCAAAUCUGAUUUGAAUUAGUUCAAUACUCAUGAAAGAAGGAUUCCUACAUGAGAUAGAAUUGCCAUCACAUAUGACAAUUACUUUGCACCCACUCCCUCACCC